rnacentral:sRNA from 1 species
GCUGGGCAUGGUAGUGCACAUCUGUAAUCCCAGCAACUCAGGAGGCUGAGGCAAGAGGAUUGCAAGUUUUAGGCCAGCCUCAGCAACUUAAUGAAGCACUAAGCAAUUUAGUGAGACCCUGUCUCAA